rnacentral:rRNA from 1 species
UACGGAGGGGGCUAGCGUUGUUCGGAAUUACUGGGCGUAAAGCGCACGUAGGCGGACUGUUAAGUCGGGGGUGAAAUCCUGGGGCUCAACCUCAGAAUUGCCUCCGAUACUGGCAGUCUCGAGUGCGGGAGAGGUGAGUGGAAUUCCCAGUGUAGAGGUGAAGUUCGUAGAUAUUGGGAAGAACACCAGUGGCGAAGGCGGCUCACUGGCCCGUAACUGACGCUGAGGUGCGAAAGCGUGGGGAGCAAACAGG